AUGCCUGCUGAAGCCACUCAGCAAUGUGUAACAGCAUUCAGAGAUGUACAUCCUUCCUUCUUGCUCUUUCUUUUGAAUUUUAGCUGAGAUCAUGGGGUCCCAGCAGCUGGGAUCUGGGUCUUGACACCAGAUCAGUGUUUUUCUGUAAAUGGGAGAAGUCUGAGAUCCUAUAAUGUGGCUCACAGGAACAAAAGCUGGGAACGCUGAUGACCUUGAGAGGCUGGAGUUCAAUGCCAACAGGAGUUUUCUGUUGAAGCAGAAAUAAAUGCGAAGUCCUUGAGGUGAAGGUGGAAUAUUCAAGUACAUCAGCAUAAGCUGGGGCAAAAUGGCUGGAAGCAGGUCUGCAGAAAAGGCCUAAGGAUCCUGGUGGACAGGAAGGUGAACGCAACUGACCACAAUCAGACUGUAUUACCACAACAGUCAGAUCUAGGAAAGUGAUUAUUCGGCACCAGUAAGACCACAUCCAGAAUCCUGUACCCCAUUUUGGUCUUCCCCAUAUGAGACAGACAUUCAUAAACUUUGAGUAUGGCAAAUGAUUAAAGAGACAGCUAAAGGGCUGAGCACUGUUCCAUAAAUUAAAAUACCAUAAGUGAAGCAUAACUGAACUUUUAAAAGGUCAAAUCCUGGUACACUCAUUGGCUCUAGCUACAGAAAAUAUGUUGACUUCAAAUCUGAAUUUCUUUUUAAAAGCUGGUUCUCUAAAAACAGCAGGUGAAAAAGAAUCAAUCCAUAUGUUAUACACAGCAUAUCUGAGUAGUGCAUAGAGCAUAAAGGAGAUCUGCUGCUUUGAGGAAGUUGUAAGUCAGCACAGAGUAAUUAGGAAAAGGAAAGAAUCUUUCCCAUAAAAUCAUCUGCUGUCCUAAAGGACAAAAGUUGAAAAAAAAUCUCAGAACACAAAGGGUCCAGAUGACAAAUGCAGAAGAGUGGGAAAACAAACUUGUUCGGUGUUUCACUAAGAAGUCAACUGUUUCUUUGGCAAGCAAUUUCACUUCUUGCACAAGAUUCAGUUAAGUUCAAGUUCUUAAGUCAAAGCCUACAAAGAGCCAAGUUCACAAUAUGUCCAUGUUAAGUUCGCAUUCCUUAUUCUCAGUACUGUGGCAUGAACAAUUCAGAAGGAAAGCUUGCAACUGCAUUAUGCCAGCUGUGAGACCCUGCUGAACCAUACUGAUAGAGGCUGCUUACACCUAAAUAAUGCGCUAUUAGCAGCAGAUUGAGCUAGGGCUAGAAAAUAAGCUUGCUGUUUCCCUUUGAUGUAUUGUGCCAUUCUGCCUUAAAUACUGUUAAUAUUAGCGAGUGCCUACUCUACAGGCAUGUGGGACACAGCAGGGCUUUAUUUUCACAGAGAAAA
rnacentral:lncRNA from 1 species